GUAUUGCUGAAGAGUCCCAAACUAGGACGAAACAGCUGUCCAGCAC
rfam:Trichobilharzia regenti genome assembly, scaffold: TRE_scaffold0006126